AGUGAACGCUGGCGGUAGGCCUAACACAUGCAAGUCGAACGGCAGCACAGUAAGAGCUUGCUCUUACGGGUGGCGAGUGGCGGACGGGUGAGGAAUACAUCGGAAUCUACUUUUUCGUGGGGGAUAACGUAGGGAAACUUACGCUAAUACCGCAUACGACCUACGGGUGAAAGCAGGGGAUCUUCGGACCUUGCGCGAUUGAAUGAGACGAUGUCGGAUUAGCUAGUUGGCGGGGUAAGGGCCCACCAAGGCGACGAUCCGUAGCUGGUCUGAGAGGAUGAUCAGCCACACUGGAACUGAGACACGGUCCAGACUCCUACGGGAGGCAGCAGUGGGGAAUAUUGGACAAUGGGCGCAAGCCUGAUCCAGCCAUACCGCGUGGGUGAAGAAGGCCUUCGGGUUGUAAAGCCCUUUUGUUGGGAAAGAAAAGCAGCAGGUUAAUACCCCGCUGUUCUGACGGUACCCAAAGAAUAAGCACCGGCUAACUUCGUG
rnacentral:rRNA from 1 species